AUAAAUAAAUAAAUAAAGACUUCUGAUUUGAUUCACUCUAUUCAUUAUUUAGUUCAGAAGAACCAAAACACAACGCUUUAAAAACUGUUUUUAUGUGAACAAAGAAAGAGUUUUAGUUUUUGUUGAAAGAAAACCUGAAGGUGUGAAACUAGCUUCAUCGUGGCGCCCUCUAGAGGACGAUCUGUUCACAGUUCAGGAUUUAAAUCGGUCUCAUUUUCCGAAACAUUCUCUCUGAGACACAAAUUUAUUUUAUUUUGGACACAUUUCAGUUUUACUCAAUGUAUUUCAAUUAAUUUUUGACAAUUUCUGAGUCAUUUUGGGCAGUUUUCAAGCAAUUUUCAGUCAUUUUGGACACUUUUUUGAGUCAUUGUUACACCUUUCAAACUAUUUUUGGCCACUUUCAGUCAUUUUGGACCUUUUUCAGCUCAUUUUGAUGAAAGUUUUACUGAUAUAAUAUCAGACAGCUGCAGUUACAAGGUGCAAUGACAACCGCCCGUCGCAGAGCCCCUGAAGGGGCCCCCUCUGCCGUGAGUCAAAGUCGCCCCUCCCUCACCUCCUUCUCUCUGUCAGACAGAGGGAGAGGGGGAGAGAGAGGUGCCCACAGCGUGUGCAGCUGCUCUUCAGUAAAUAAAAACAUGGAGGCGUAACUGCGGAGAGGACGAUAGAUAAUGAAGAGAAGUUAUCCUUCUGGAAGUGAAAAAAGAAAGAAAAAAAAGGAGGAGGAAGAGAAAAGAAAACAAGAAAGCGGAUCCCUAAGGAGAUUUUUCACUUCAAAAGGUGUUGUGACACCUUCUUCAGAUACGGAUCAUACAAGUUUUUCUCUCUACAUCUGUUCUCUGAGCCACUAGAUGGAGACACCGGAUCAGUUUAGGUGAGAUUCUAUACUUAUUAGGAAGUUAAAACUCUUUGUAAAUAUUUUUGUUAAUAAUAUUCAUAAUAAAUAGUAAAUCAUUUAUAUUUGCUGCUGCAGAAAUGAUGGACUCUCUGUGACACAAAUAUUUAGAUUUACUCUGUAUAUUUAUUAAUGAAACACAAAUACAAACACAAAUCCUUUGAUAAUUCUUCUUCUUCUUUUUAUGACAUGAUGACUCUGAAUUGUACCAGACAGUAAUCAGAUUAUUUCUAAGACGGACAGUAAAAUGUUCUCUGGAUGAUUUGUGAUUCAUUUUGGUGAAGUUUGGGAGAAUUUUGGAGUUUUAUUCCUCAUAUCUCAGUUUAGUUUGGACAAAUUUUUAAUAACAGUUGACAUUUUUUGUCAUUUUGAAGCCAUUUAAGAUGCAUUUCACAUCAUUUUGAUGAAUUUUUAGCCAUUUUUGGCUUUAGUUUUAUUUUUAUUUUGGACAGAUUUGAGUUUUACUGGAAGUAUUUAAAUUCAUUUUGGACAAAAUCUGAGUAUGUAUGAA